UGGCUCAGAACGACGCUGGCGGCGUGCUUAACACAUGCAAGUCGAACGCGAAAGGGACUUCGGUCCUGAGUAAAGUGGCGCACGGGUGAGUAACGCGUAGAUAACCUGUCUUCAUGUCUGGAAUAAUACGGCCGAAAGGGGUACUAAUACCGGAUAUUCUUGCUUUUCAUAAGUUAUGCAAGCAAAGGUGGCCUCUGCAUAUGCUACUGCAUGAAGAGGGGUCUGCGUACCAUUAGCUAGUAGGUGGGGUAAUGGCCUACCUAGGCGACGAUGGUUAGCGGGUCUGAGAGGAUGAUCCGCCACACUGGCACUGGAACACGGGCCAGACUCCUACGGGAGGCAGCAGUGAGGAAUAUUGCGCAAUGGGGGAAACCCUGACGGCAGCGACGCCGCGUGAGUGAGGAAGGCCUUCGGGUCGUAAAGCUCUGUCAAGAGGAAAGAAGUGUACAAUGGCUAAUACCUGUUGUAUUUGACGGUACCUCUAAAGGAAGCACCGGCUAACUCCGUGCCAGCCGCCGC
rnacentral:rRNA from 1 species